AGGCUCCAGAGGAUGAGCCACACAAGAGAACAUGCAACUGUCCAUACCUCCAGCUGAAGCCCUGGCAUCGCACCUUGAGGACUGCUGUUGAAAUCUGCUAUCGACAUUCAUUCACUGGAAAGAAAAUGGACCUACAGUGAGGCAAGCGCUACUCAUUAUCUGCCUACAUUUUGCAAGGAAGCAAUUUCACCCAUGACAGAAAGACUACACUGAAAUCAUUUAGUUCUGCUUGUUAAAUGAACAUUUCAACAGAAGGGAGAAAAAUAUUUGCCAGUAUACAAUAUUGAUUUUUUCCAUGGCUAAGAAAUCUUUUAUCAUUCACCUCCUUUAUGUUUGU